rnacentral:rRNA from 1 species
AUUGAACGCUGGCGGAAUGCUUUACACAUGCAAGUCGAGCGGCAGCGCGGGGGCAACCCUGGCGGCGAGCGGCGAACGGGUGAGUAACAUACCGGAACGUACCCCGUCGUGGGGGAUAACACAGCGAAAGCUGUGCUAAUACCGCAUACGACCUGAGGGUGAAAGCGGGGGAUCGCAAGACCUCGCGCGCUGGGAGCGGCCGAUAUCGGAUUCGCUUGUUGGUGAGGUAAAGGCUCACCAAGGCGACGAUCCGUAGCUGGUCUGAGAGGACGACCAGCCACACUGGAACUGAGACACGGUCCAGACUCCUACGGGAGGCAGCAGUGGGGAAUUUUGGACAAUGGGGGCAACCCUGAUCCAGCCAUUCCGCGUGAGUGAAGAAGGCCUUCGGGUUGUAAAGCUCUUUCAGCAGGAACGAAACGGUGGCCACUAAUACUGGCUACUAAUGGCGGUACCUGAAGAAGAAGCACCGGCUAACUACGUGCCAGCCGCCGCUGUAACAC